GAUGAACGCUGGCGGCGUGCCUAAUACAUGCAAGUCGAGCGAACGGACGAGAAGCUUGCUUCUCUGAUGUUAGCGGCGGACGGGUGAGUAACACGUGGAUAACCUACCUAUAAGACUGGGAUAACUUCGGGAAACCGGAGCUAAUACCGGAUGAUAUUUUGAACCGCAUGGUUCAAAAGUGAAAGACGGUCUUGCUGUCACUUAUAGAUGGAUCCGCGCUGCAUUAGCUAGUUGGUAAGGUAACGGCUUACCAAGGCAACGAUGCAUAGCCGACCUGAGAGGGUGAUCGGCCACACUGGAACUGAGACACGGUCCAGACUCCUACGGGAGGCGGCAGUAGGGAAUCUUCCGCAAUGGGCGAAAGCCUGACGGAGCAACGCCGCGUGAGUGAUGAAGGUCUUCGGAUUGUAAAACUCUGUUAUUAGGGAAGAACAUAUGUGUAAGUAACUGUGCACAUCUUGACGGUACCUAAUCAGAAAGCCACGGCUAACUACGUG
rnacentral:rRNA from 1 species